GGUCGGGUGGCGCAAUGGUAGCGCGUUACUUUCCGGUGAGUGGACGGACGAGAAUCCUUCAAUCAUUCCAGCUGGUAAAGGCUCUGGGUUCGAGUCCCAGCUCGAUCG